GAUGAACGCUGGCGGCGUGCCUAAUACAUGCAAGUCGAGCGAACGGACGAGAAGCUUGCUUCUCUGAUGUUAGCGGCGGACGGGUGAGUAACACGUGGAUAACCUACCUAUAAGACUGGGAUAACUUCGGGAAACCGGAGCUAAUACCGGAUAAUAUUUUGAACCGCAUGGUUCAAAAGUAAAAGACGGUCUUGCUGUCACUUAUAGAUGGAUCCGCGCUGCAUUAGCUAGUUGGUAAGGUAACGGCUUACCAAGGCAACGAUGCAUAGCCGACCUGAGAGGGUGAUCGGCCACACUGGAACUGAGACACGGUCCAGACUCCUACGGGAGGCAGCAGUAGGGAAUCUUCCGCAAUGGGCGAAAGCCUGACGGAGCAACGCCGCGUGAGUGAUGAAGGUCUUCGGAUCGUAAAACUCUGUUAUUAGGGAAGAAUAUAUGUGUAAGUAACUGUGCACAUCUUGACGGUACCUAAUCAGAAAGCCACGGCUAACUACGUGCCAGCAGCCGCGGUAAUACGUAGGUGGCAAGCGUUAUCCGGAAUUAUUGGGCGUAAAGCGCGCGUAGGCGGUUUUUUAAGUCUGAUGUGAAAGCCCACGGCUCAACCGUGGAGGGUCAUUGGAAACUGGAAAACUUGAGUGCAGAAGAGGAAAGUGGAAUUCCAUGUGUAGCGGUGAAAUGCGCAGAGAUAUGGAGGAACACCAGUGGCGAAGGCGACUUUCUGGUCUGUAACUGACGCUGAUGUGCGAAAGCGUGGGGAUCAAACAGGAUUAGAUACCCUGGUAGUCCACGCCGUAAACGAUGAGUGCUAAGUGUUAGGGGGUUUCCGCCCCUUAGUGCUGCAGCUAACGCAUUAAGCACUCCGCCUGGGGAGUACGACCGCAAGGUUGAAACUCAAAGGAAUUGACGGGGACCCGCACAAGCGGUGGAGCAUGUGGUUUAAUUCGAAGCAACGCGAAGAACCUUACCAAAUCUUGACAUCCUUUGACAACUCUAGAGAUAGAGCCUUCCCCUUCGGGGGACAAAGUGACAGGUGGUGCAUGGUUGUCGUCAGCCCGUGUCGUGAGAUGUUGGGUUAAGUCCCGCAACGAGCGCAACCCUUAAGCUUAGUUGCCAUCAUUAAGUUGGGCACUCUAAGUUGACUGCCGGUGACAAACCGGAGGAAGGUGGGGACGACGUCAAAUCAUCAUGCCCCUUAUGAUUUGGGCUACACACGUGCUACAAUGGACAAUACAAAGGGCAGCGAAACCGCGAGGUCAAGCAAAUCCCAUAAAGUUGUUCUCAGUUCGGAUUGUAGUCUGCAACUCGACUACAUGAAGCUGGAAUCGCUAGUAAUCGUAGAUCAGCAUGCUACGGAGAAGACGUUCCCGGGUCU
rnacentral:rRNA from 1 species